GUUGUAUAGUCAAGUAAUUAAGUGCAUGUGGUGGAUGCCUUGGCAGUCAGAGGCGAUGAAAGACGUGAUAGCCUGCGAAAAGCUCCGGGGAGGCGGCAAAUAUCCUUUGAUCCGGAGAUGUCUGAAUGGGGGAACCCACCUACUUUAAGGUAGGUAUUGCAACAUGAAUACAUAGUGUUGCAAGGCGAACGAGGGGAAGUGAAACAUCUCAGUACCCUUAGGAAAAGAAAUCAAUUGAGAUUCCCUCAGUAGCGGCGAGCGAACGGGGAUCAGCCCAUUAAGUUAUGUGUGUUUUAGUGGAACGCUCUGGGAAGUGCGAACGUAGAGGGUGAUAUUCCCGUACACGAAAGGGCACACAUAAUGAUGACGAGUAGGGCGAGGCACGUGAAACCUUGUCUGAAUAUGGGGGGACCAUCCUCCAAGGCUAAAUACUCCUGACUGACCGAUAGUGAACCAGUACCGUGAGGGAAAGGCGAAAAGAACCCCUGUGAGGGGAGUGAAAUAGAUCCUGAAACCGCAUGCAUACAAGCAGUGGGAGCACCUUCGUGGUGUGACUGCGUACCUUUUGUAUAAUGGGUCAGCGACUUAUAUUCAGUAGCGAGGUUAACCGUAUAGGGGAGCCGUAGAGAAAUCGAGUCUUAAUAGGGCGUUUAGUUGCUGGGUAUAGACCCGAAACCAGGCGAUCUAUCCAUGAGCAGGUUGAAGGUUGGGUAACACUAACUGGAGGACCGAACCCACUGUCGUUGAAAAGCCAGGGGAUGACUUGUGGAUAGGGGUGAAAGGCUAAUCAAGCCUGGUGAUAGCUGGUUCUCCCCGAAAGCUAUUUAGGUAGCGCCUCGGACGAAUACCAUAGGGGGUAGAGCACUGUUUCGGCUAGGGGGUCAUCCCGACUUACCAAACCGAUGCAAACUCCGAAUACCUAUGAGUACUAUCCGGGAGACAGACUGCGGG
rnacentral:rRNA from 1 species